rnacentral:lncRNA from 1 species
GUUCAGCCUCCGUCCAGGCGGUGGCGGUAGAUCAAAUCACAUGUACUCCUGAGGGUAGGGGGGAGGUCAGUGAACCCGAACAACCCGGGUGUGAAAGAAGCAGCCUGAGCGGGGUUUGGACGCUGAUCUUUUCUUUAACAUUAUUCUGAUGCGACAUGGAUUGCUUCUCCUAGAGUUUUUAUUUUAUCCAGAGUUAACGCAGUUAAGUCUGAAACGGUCAUUUUGUUUCACCGUUACCUCGUUGGAAAAGUGGACUCUUCCGUGCUAAAGAUUUAGGACACGCGGUUUCAUCCGAGCUCCUGUUGAAGGAUGUCCUCGAGGCAGUGGGACAACUACGCCGACUGGCUGGAGGAGAAAUCCCGAGAUUUACGGCGCGAUUCCUCCCAGAAAUAUUACAGAGAAGGACACGAAUACAGGAGUAAGGAGCACAGGAAAGAUCCGUCUGGCAGGGACCGGAAGAGGAGUACGGAGCGGAGACGAGCGUCCUCGCCUGACCGGGAAGCUUUAGAUAAGAAAUGGUUAGCUGAGGAGAAGAAUUACAGAUACAGGAGGGAGUCUGUGGGAGGGAAACAAUCACUAGAGACUUACAGAGAUACAGACCUCAGGUAUAGAAGAACGUCUCCAGAUUCCAGACACGCGUAUCGCCACCACGACGCUACAAGCAAACAACAACAAGGCAGUGAUCCGACCUACAGGAGGUUGACUGAUGGUCACAGAGGUGGCGACAGGAGUUACGAUUACCCAGUGAAUCACUCUGCAAAGCAGAGAAAUGUGAAACCCAGAGAAAGGUCAAACAGUCCGUCUGCAGCAACGUUUCGUGAAGACCGUCCUAAAGAUAGAUGUAAAUAUGGACAGAAUGGAUCUGACAAGCAGAGUUUUCCCAGUGACGUCUCGUUCUCCCAUCGUGCCUCCGUUCCUCAGGAGUCGUCCUCUAAAGGUUUCGAGCGUUUCCUCGACGUGCUCAACAAAGGCGUGAAUGUAAACCUGCUCACUAAAAUAGUUACUCAGACUCCCACCGGGGCCGAAGCUCCUCCCCCUCCGUCACCAGUCAUCAGUAGUAGUCGUGCACCAUGUCACCCGUCGUCUGGUAGCCGAGCUGAAACGGUAGCUUGUGAUCCACACAGACCAGUGUCUCCACAGCUUAGGCUAAACAGGUUCCGCCCCCCCGAUGAAGAGCCUCCCCCUCGGAGCUACUCAAGAUCCAGAUCAAACUCUCCAUCAAACCAAGCAGAAACUGUCCUGACCCCAGAGGAAGAGCACAAACGCCGUCAGAUGCAGGACGUCCUGCAGGCCAUCGGUGUGGAUCUGGGGCUUGAGGAGCUGGGACAGAUGUCCCAUCGCAUCCAGGAGAGGCUUUACGGGAGGCGGGACAGCAACCCGGGCCGUAAACCGAGCCGGGAGAGCAGCACGUGGAGGGAGCGCUCACCUCCACCACGCAGCCGCUCGUCAUCCUCCAGCAGGUCCAGAUUCACGCCGUUACCUCCCGACAGUUAUGGGAAACAGCGAAGAUCGCACAGCAACCAGAGAGAGGAACCGGAGCAGGAUCGUCAUCAUCAGUCGGACCCGGAGACCAGUGAGCACCCGUCGUUCAAAUGUGACCCGGAAACGAGCGGUGGCGGAGGAGGUUCUUUGUGGUCCAAGGCGUCGCAUUUCACUCCUCCUCCAUUUCUCUGGAAUCCUUCUGCCACUACCCAGUGGAAUCCUGCUCCAGUUUCCUCACCUUCCAUCCUCCCAAACUGGAGUUCUCCCCUUGUAACUCCCCCCGUCCCCCAGUGGAGUCCUGCUCCUCCUGCUGCUGUAUCUAAGCCUCCUGCUCCUGCUCCACUCAUUCCUCCCUACUCACCCAUGCUCUACCCGCCCCCUCUUCCCCCUCCACGCUUUUACCCCCCUCCCCCACCGCCUCUCGGUUCUUUACCCCAAAUCCAACCUUAUUCUAAUGCUUUUUCAGCCGCCAGGCCAUUGUUUUCUCAAACUGUAACCAAACCCAAAGGGCAGCCAAGGAACCGCUGCCUUCACGAGAUCCACAUAAAAAAAUAUUGAAGACUGACACACGAUAAUAAAUCUGACUCUAAAAAAAUGACGAAUUUCUUC